AGGAUUAUAGUUUAUUAAAACAUUUGAAUUGCAAUCAAAAAAUAUUGUAAAAUCAAUUUAUCUU
rnacentral:tRNA from 1 species